rnacentral:tRNA from 1 species
GGCAGUGUAGUAUAGUGGUAAGGAGUAGGGCUCAUAACCAAAAGGUUGCCGGUUCGAUUCCCUGCUGGGGCACUGCUG